rnacentral:lncRNA from 1 species
UGUGCUGAGUGAAUGCAACAUAUGCAUCCCCAAAAGUAAACUGGGUGUCAAAUACAUUUCACAUCUGGCAUCUAUUAAAAUAAUGCGUAUGUGUGCAAGCCUGUGUCUGUGUAUAAAACAUGGACGUACUCUCUGAUCUCAAAUAUAGAACAAAAUAUGUGUUUUAAAUGGUGCCUUAAUUUUGUCCCUUUUGUUAACUGGAAAGUUCCUUUAUAUUAAAGUUUGUGCAAAGUAUUUUACUUAACAUAUUAUCUGUAACAGAUUGCAUAAGCAUGACUGUUAUCUGCAUUAGUCAUCGCUUUAGCCCAUGGAAUAUAACUCAUGGCAGUCUGGAUUUAAUGAAUGUUUGAAUUAACAUAUACCUAAUUUCUUGUGUUUUAAAACCUAAAUCUCAUUGAAAGCUGAGCUUUGUUUACUUCCCAAAAUUGAACUGAGGGCCAUUUGGAACACUUAGUGUAUUCUAAAAUGUGAUCGUAUCAACAAUACACGCUCUAGUUUGUUUUAAAGUGAGUUUUUCUUUCCCAGUUUACAUAAAUCAUUUAAAAAAAUCGUUCACUUUUUUGGAUCAUAAUGUACUCACUUGGCUUUUAGACCUACAUAGCUCACAGGCCAAUUUUUCAAACAGGAUUCUAAAGCUAUUUGUGGAUUACUCUCUGUUUGCUACUUGUAAUCUGCAUUCCUGAGGUAAGCAUGGUAAAAAGACUGAAGAUUUUCAUCAAGCUAAGUGAUUAUACUAAAUAGGGCAAUUUUGGGUGAACUCAGCUUCUGUGUUUAAAAAUACAAUGCAGAAGAAACCAACAACACAUUUUCUGUUAAACCACAGAGGGCACUGUUUGUUCUUGAUAUAACGUGACCCCAUCAUGUAGACUCUUGUCGCUCUUCAUUAAGCAAUUACCAUAAGAGCUUAAAAUUAUUAUUUUUUUCUUCUUUUCUUUGAUUUUAAAAUUAACCAGGCGCAUUAUAUGCUGCACACUCUCGUGUUCUGUCAGUGCUUGGCACCAAAUUUUCUGCAUUCACUGGAUCUUCUUCCUCUCCUUACUGCUUUACCAUACCACGUCAAGUCAGACACUUUCCUUCACAGUGAAAGGUAAGGAAUUUGCACAGAAAUGUAUUGGUGAAGAUCUGCUUUUCAUCAUGGCCUAACCGCACAGUAAACAACAGGAAUAACUUGUUUUAAUAAAGUACGGUGUUGAAACA